UACGGGGGGAGCGAGCGUUGCCCGGAAUCACUGGGCGUAAAGGGUGUGUAGGCGGAUUUGCAAGUCAAACGUGAAAUUUUCCGGCUUAACCGGAAAACUGCGCUUGAAACUGCAUUUCUUGAGUAUGAGAGAGGAGCAUGGAAUUCCAGGUGUAGCGGUGAAAUGCGUAGAUAUCUGGAAGAACACCGGUUGCGAAGGCUAUUCUCUAUCUCAAUACUGACGCUGUGACACGAAAGCCAGGGGAGCAAACAGG
rnacentral:rRNA from 1 species